rnacentral:rRNA from 1 species
UACGAAGGGGGCUAGCGUUGCUCGGAAUCACUGGGCGUAAAGCGCACGUAGGCGGGUUGCUAAGUCAGGGGUGAAAUCCUGGAGCUCAACUCCAGAACUGCCCUUGAUACUGGCGGCCUUGAGUCCGGGAGAGGUGAGUGGAACUGCGAGUGUAGAGGUGAAAUUCGUAGAUAUUCGCAAGAACACCAGUGGCGAAGGCGGCUCACUGGCCCGGUACUGACGCUGAGGUGCGAAAGCG